UCGAGAAUCUUCCGCAAUGGGCGAAAGCCUGACGGAGCGACGCCGCGUGGUGGAUGAAGUCCUUAGGGACGUAAACACCUUUUAUGAGUGAAGAAGUUUAUUGACAUUAGCUCAUGAAUAAGGGGCUCCCAACUCUGUGCCAGCAGGAGCGGUAAUACAGAGGCCUCAAGCGUUAUCCGGAUUCACUGGGCGUAAAGGGUGCGUAGGCGGUUAUAUUAGUCGGGUGUAAAAUCCUGGGGCUCAACCUCAGGCUCGCAUUCGAAACGGUAUAACUAGAAGAUGUGAGAGGUAAGCAGAACUCUCGGUGUAGGGGUGAAAUCCGUUGAUAUCGAGGGGAAUACCAAAAGCGAAGGCAGCUUACUGGCACAUUCUUGACGCUGAGGCACGAAAGCGUGGGUAGCGAACGGGAUUAGAUACCCCCGUAGUCC
rnacentral:rRNA from 1 species